ensembl:lncRNA
AGUUCCCUGGUGGCCACGGUUAAGGAGCUGGUGGUGUUGCUGCUGCAGCCCAGGUUUGAACCCUGGCUGGGGAACUUCUGCAUGCCAUGGGCAUGGCCCAUCAAAAAAAGACGACGACAACUCAAAUUAAAAUGAAUUCCUUCUUCUGACACAGACGUGCCUCACCCUCAGCCCAGCAGAGCACAUCAUGAGCUCUUGGUUGUGCUUCGUGGGAAGCAGGGCAUGCCACCUUUUAUCAGGAUGUCAGAAUGGGCUGGGGAGCCCACUUCCACUUCUUCCCCAGGCUGAAGACGGAAUUAUUCACCCGUCAACCAAAACCAGUACAUGCCAGCUUCCGAGGGGCAGACGUGUGCAGAGGCAGGCCCAGAGCUGAUGAGGCCCACUACGGGUGGGGCUGUCAUUUAUUCCCGGGCUGUGGUGGUUCAAACACUCACCACGGCAAAGCCUCAGCAUCAAGGCCAUGUGUGAAGCUGGCCGUCGCCUGCCUGCACUCCAUCACCCGUGCUUUAUUCUGUCCUUUCAGAGACAGAACUGGAUGCAAAACAUACAUUCAUAUGUGAGACCUGCUGUGGGACCACUGGGGAUUUUUAUCACUGUGUUUGAAAAAGGAAGAGGGAGUAGUUCCCAUUGUGGCGCAGUGGCAACAAACCCAACUAGUGUCUAUGAGGACGCAGGUUCAAUCCCUGGCUUCGCUCAGUGGGCCAGGACGGAACCCACAACCUCAUGGUUCCUAGGCGGAACAUGACGGGAACUCCCUCAUAUGCUUGCUCUCCUUUCUCCUUUACAAAGUCGGCCUUGAAGAUCUCAGUUUCACACACAUGGCACCCUUUGAUGUGGUUCUGACAAGAAACCUGGUAAAAAUGACUCGUGCCAUUAGCUUUGGAUCAAAAUCAUCACAGAGGACUUUGCAGGCCCAUCAGACUCCUGUGCUCCUAUUUCUACCGUCCCUGAUCAGUUCCACCCAAUUCCCCAUGGACAGAAAUCCAGCGAAAACAGAGCCACCCUGCAGUGCCCAAAGUGCACUGCUCGCACGUUCCUGCUUGGCCUGUGCAGAACCCCUCUCCGGGAAGGCUGCAAACUGCCAUCUGCUGGCUCUGAUCUCCAAAGAGAUCAGCGAAGGAUCUUCUUCUCAGCGCUCCGGGAAAGCUCAGCAAGGAUCACAAGGAGAAGGGACCUGGCCGCACAGGGGCUGGGCUCCCCGGACUGCCUGAAGCCAGGAGAGCUGGAAUCAGCAGCCACAGUGGCGUUAUUCACUUAUUUAUAUAGUUAUUUUUAGGGCCGCACCUGCGGCAUAGCGACAUUUCCAGGCGAGGGGUCGAAUCAGAAGUGCAGCCGCUGCCCUACACCACGACUCACGGUAAGGCCAGAUCCUUAACCCACUGAGCGAGGCCAGGGAUCAAACUGGCAUCCUCAUGGAUACUAGUGGGAUUCGUUACCACUGAGCCACAAUGGGAACUCCCCACAGUGGCUUUAAAAUGGGAGAAAAAUUCUGAAUUAAGGCAAGAGCCACCUCAGUGUCUCUCCUCCCCCAGGUCCCUCUGGUGGCCUCACCUCUCUCCCUGAGCAGCACAGGCUGGGGCUGGAGUGGGCGGUAGAACC